CUAAAAGAAGGACAAGAGUUACAGUGCCUAGGGACACUGUGAUCUGAUUUAUUUCUCUUUAUAUUAUUUUAUUUAUCUAAUAAUAUAAAGAGAAAUAAAUCAGAUCACAGUGUCCCUAGGCACUGUAACUCUUGUCCUUCUUUUA